rnacentral:misc_RNA from 1 species
UCGUGACCCUGACCAAAACAGACCGCGCACGCGUCAUCCAGCCCGCCGAGCGGUCCGCCGCUCGGCCAAGUCCUCGACAACCUCCUCUCCUCGGAGCGGGGGCUCGGGGUAAAAGAACCCACGGCGCCGAAGGCGUCAAGGAACACUGUGCCUAGCCCGGGGACGCGGCUGGCUUGCUGGCCGCACCCCGUGCUGCAAUGCUAUUUAAUCCACACGACUCUCGGCAACGGAUAUCUCGGCUCUCGCAUCGAUGAAGAACGUAGCGAAAUGCGAUACCUGGUGUGAAUUGCAGAAUCCCGCGAACCAUCGAGUCUUUGAACGCAAGUUGCGCCCGAGGCCAUCCGGCUGAGGGCACGCCUGCCUGGGCGUCACGCCAAACACGCUCCCACCCCCCCUCAUCGGGGGAGCGGGAUGCGGCAUGUGGCCUCCCGUCUCGCAAGGGGCGGUGGGCCGAAGAUAUGGCUGCCGGCGUAUCGUGCCGGACACAGCGCUAGGUGGGCGUUCUCGCUAAGCUUAUCGCAGUGUAUCCGGUGCGUAGCCGACACGAUGGCCUCUAAAGACCCUUUGAACGGUGCGCAUGACGCUCCGACCGCGACCC